rnacentral:rRNA from 1 species
UACGUAGGGGGCUAGCGUUGUCCGGAAUCAUUGGGCGUAAAGCGCGCGUAGGCGGCCCGGUAAGUCCGCUGUAAAAGUCCAGGGCUCAACCCUGGAAAGCCGGUGGAUACUGUCGGGCUCGAGUCCGGAAGAGGCGAGUGGAAUUCCUGGUGUAGCGGUGGAAUGCGCAGAUAUCAGGAGGAACACCAGUGGCGAAGGCGGCU